rnacentral:rRNA from 1 species
CCCUUAGAUGUUCUGGGCGGCCCGCGCACUACAUUGGCACUGGCAACAAGAUCCUAGAUCUGGUAUUUCGGGGUAUUCUACCAACUGGUGUCGUGACUGGGAUUAACCCCUGCAAUUGUUGGUUAUGAACGAGGAAUUCCUUGUAAUCACGGUUUAUCAACCCGUGUUGAAUGCGUCCCUGCCCUUUGUACACACCGCCCGUCGCUCCUACCGAUGAAUCGUCCGGUGAAGUUCAUGGAGUCGCGGCUGCUCCAGCUGUUUUCGAAGUGAAAUGGACCUCAUGAUUUAGAGGAAGGAGAANUCGUAACA